ensembl:lncRNA
AUCGUUGACAUCUCUGAGCGCAGAUCGGAGCGUGAUGACAUCACCUGCCCAAACCCUAGGCGGCUAUCCAAAAGCUAAUAUAACCACUUCAGACAUCGCGGAGCCUAACAAUGUCAAUAUUUAACCUGGAAACACAAUGUUAAGCUUAAACGGUUACGGUAUUCAGUAUAUUGUACCUCAAAUUUAUUGUUAAGUUUAUUUUUUUUUCCACAAUGUCUUUUAUUUAUGAUGACUAUAUGCUCUGUAAGGUGACCUUGGGUGUCUUGAAAGGCGCCUCUAAAUUAAAUGUAUUAUUAUAUUAUUAAAUGAUUACAACCACCUUGCUUUUUCUUUCCAACCAUUUGAAUUUUUUUUUUAAUUGUGUGCAUGUUUACAUUGUUAACUCCAUUUAGACUUUUUGAAUCUUUUCACUUGAAGUAAGCUAAUCAACAUCUUUACGUCUUAAACUUGGCUUUAUUAAAACAUUUUUAACAUCACUUCGCACAUUAGCGGAUAUUCUGCAGGAAAUGCAUUUUUUAGUUCUUUAUGCAUUUAUUUAUUGAAUAAUGACUUAAAAUGGUGUUCCAUUUAUGCUGCCACCAGGGGUGAGGGAGAUGAUCUACCCAUCAUGCAUCUGGGUGCUCACGCCCACUUGUGAUGUCACAAAUGGAUCGAUUUUGAAACCACUGUGAAUGUCUUCAAGACUGCAGGCACCAGUUAACAUAUGGGGUAGGAGUGUGUGUGGAGGACACACAUACAUACAUAGGAGCUCUAAUGUCUUCUUGCACUAGGACGGGUUGCUGGUUCCAUUCUCUACCUGGCCUCCGCUAUGGGGUGUUAUUUGAGCACGACGCCCAAGCAGGAGUCCUGAGCACCGGAGCGUUUUUUUCAAAGUACAGUCACUGACUAGAGGCCAACUAGCCGCUGGAAGGAAGACAACAUGUUGAACCCCACACUUAAUUAUCUUCUCACCGGACAGCGUCUACCCUGGGAUGUGGCGACACCCAGUGGAACACUGGGCUCAGUUUACUUAAGUCAAGUUGAACCAACUCAGGAAUAUUUUUAACAUUCAUAUUUAUAUAGACACACACCCACACAUAUUUAAAUUAUCAUGAAAGCAUUGGCACCUGAGCUCUGCAAUCCAAAAUGUAAAUCAUCCAUCAGGUGUCAAUUGUUCGAUAUAAUCAUAGUUCCCCGUUUACUGGGAGUUGUGGUACAGAGUUGUGGUACAAUCUUAGUUUUUAGCGGAGCUUGGUUGGUGUUGGUCUGGUCUAACUCAUGUCUCCAGGUUCACUGGAGCUCUGGCCCAGCAGGGGACCGGUGAAGGUGGUGGAUGUGGUGGGGAAAGGAAGAUGUGGAAACAGGAUGGAUUUGAGGAGCAGUUUAAUCAGGACAGAGUUCCACAUCAACACAGAGAGAGGUGCGCUCUGUAGGAAUGUUGGCCAGAAGACUCAACGGAUGACAGCAUAAUAAAUACCACUGGAUUUAUUAUCACUGGAAAUUACUAAGUGCAAUGCUCCUCUUGUCAUAUACUCCCUGAAGGGUUUUCUAGAUAAUUACUCUAGCUAUAGAAUCUCUAGAUAUAGAUUUUCUAAGUUACGGGUACAGUAAAGGGAAACCUUUCUGGUGUUAGAAAACUUCCAAUGGACAGGUUUCUCUAGACAGUUUGAUACUUUAGGGGAAAUCUUUCUCUAGAAAAUAAGACACUAUUAAUCAUGAUCGUUAAAUUAUUCAAACAGGCGUCUCUGAAGAGUUAAAUACUUUGAAGAAAAAAGUAUCUGGAGAAGGCAACGGAUCAAUGUUAACAGGACCGAUCAUUCCAUAGCUCCUGACCGUAAAUAAUUAUUAAAUAAUUAAAACAGAGGCUUAAGAGCACUCUGGGAGGGCUAUCACAGUGAAGGAAUAACAGUAUCACCGACAUAUCUGAGCACUCGGGGAAAGAGAAGGCCUACCGCCCAGUGUAGAGGAGAAGGCCUUCCGCCCAGCCUAGAGGAGAAGGCCUUCCGCCCAGUGUAGAGGAGAAGGCCUACCGCCCAGUGUAGAGGAGAAGGCCUUCCGCCCAGUGUAGAGGAGAAGGCCUACCGCCCAGCCUAGAGGAGAAGGCCUACCGCCCAGCCUAGAGGAGAAGGCCUACCGCCCAGCCUAGAGGAGAAGGCCUACCGCCCAGCCUAGAGGAGAAGGCCUACCGCCCAGCCUAGAGGAGAAGGCCUACCGCCCAGCCUAGAGGAGAAGGCCUACCGCGCAGUCUAGACUGGCUGUUUGGGGUCAGAAGGCCUACCGGUUGUUUGGGGAGUAGCAUCACAGAUGUACACUUCAAGUAAUUUCAGGUAUGUCAAAUAAACAAUCAAUAUAAAUCAUUAAAAAUAUUAUAGAUCUGUUUUCAUACCAAAUGAGGAACAUCUUUAAAGGAUGUCAUACAAAAGAUAAAAAAAACUUCCAGGAACCAUGGAAAUGUUUUGAUUGGCUGUGAAUGCUAAUGCUAAAUUAUGGGAUGUAGCAAGUCUGCAAACACACAAAAAAGGAACAAUUCAAACAAGCGACGGCAAAUAAAAUAGAAAAAAAUCAAAGACGUCUUCCAUCGACAGUACGGACUACAGUACAGACUGUGCUACAUCCCACAUCCUAACAGCGCUUCACUAAAAUACAUUUCAUGGUCCUUGCAUAUAGAAUUGUACAGCUACAUUUCAACCCAGGAAAUGUAGGCAGGCUUCAUGUGAAGUUACGAAACAUAUACAAAUAUAAUUCAUAAUAUAAUUUGUAUAAGAGAAAAUAAUUAUCAAAACUAUGGGGGUGACAUCACAUUCUAUAUGCUUUUGUAAAAGGGGGGUUCAGAGCUCGAGUAAGGAGGGGGGGGGGGAGAGGGGAGGGGAGAGAGAUGAGAACGAUGACAUCACAAAGGCCCCGGUUUAACACCACAUGUCACAUGACCUAACCAGUGGCUUCGUGAUUGGCCAUCAUUAUAACAAGUAUAAAACACACUGGACAUAUGGAACGGUUGCGGUACUGACCGCGUUGCCAGAUUGGGCCAGGUUGGACGGGAUAUCUCUCCCAAUCUGGCAACACUGCGCACGGACAUCCACGUGAUGGUGGCCAAAGGUUGCUCACAGUAAUGCUGAGCUCAGGGCGCCCUGACGGAGGGCGGCAGUGAACCGGUUCACAGAGUUCAGACCUCAAAUAUAAAAACACUCAAGUAAAACACCACAGGGGUCCACCACGACAUCCUCUCUGCCCCAGAGGGCACUUUCAGUUACCAAGAACGACUUGAAACACAUUACAGUGACACGUUAUAACAUCUGCUUAAAAAAAAACAAACAUGUUACCCUGCAUCACAAACGCUACCAGUGACGACGUUGCCUUAUAAAAGGUGGCGGUCUAGUGGUACCUCCCGGGGUAAGGCCUGGGUAGACCAGGAUGAACCCUGCUCUUCUCUCAGGUCCGGACCUGCCGCCGACCGCCUCUGAGGUCUGACGGAGACCCACUAGACUAUGAAGACACACUACAUUACCACACACACGCUAUUCAGAACCAGAAGGGGGGGGUGACUGGUUGACUAGGACCACUGAGUCGGUGCCACUAAGAAUAUCCAGACGGUUGAUUCGGGAAUCCUGAGGGGGACUUCUACUUUGAAGCCGAGCAACAGGAUGUGAGGCACCGCUGUUCACCUGCGGGGCUGUGCGUUUAUUCACCAUCUUCGCUGAUCGGUUAAUCGUGUACGGCAAAGAGCAGGGCAAGAGCUAGGAAUUAAAGAGCAGAUCUAGGACUUAAAGAGCAGUUCUAGAGCCAGGAUUCAAAGAGCAGUUUUAGAGUAGCAGGUCAGAGUUCGGAGUCCGGAGUCAAGCAGACUAGCUAACAGGUAUGUAAAAGUAAGCUAGCCGAAGUGUCUAAUGUGAAACACGGUGGAUGCGAUUGGCUGGACAGGCUGCUGUGGCGCUGUGUUCAUCCUUAUACCUACUCAACUACAUCAUCACUUAUCACUACGCCAAAGGUUAGCCCAGCUGUAGCUCCAACGCUAGCCAACACUACAGGAAGGUUAGCCCAGCUGUAGCUCCAGCGCUAGCCAACACUACAGGGAGGUUAGCCCAGCUGUAGCUCCAGCGCUAGCCAACACUACAGGAAGGUUAGCCCAGCUGUAGCUCCAGCGCUAGCCAACACUACAUGGAGGUUAGCCCAGCUGUAGCUCCACCGCUAGCCAACACUAUAGGAAGGUUAGCCCAGCUGUAGCUCCACCGCUAGCCAACACUACAGGAAGGUUAGCCCAGCUGUAGCUCCACCGCUAGCCACGCUCCAUGAAGGUUAGCCCAGCUGUAGACAGGUAAUCUCCUUGACAAGCAUAUGAGCAGAAACACCAGCAGGAAGUGACAUCACAUCCACAGGUUUCUUCCUGUGCUCCUAUAGGCCUGAAGAGGUUCCAGGUACUGCUGCCGACCCGACAGGUCAUCUAAAUUGGCGUGUUCACACCGCGGCGCAGCUAGACAGGGGACCCCAUAGGCUCUGUGGCGCAGCUAGACAGGGGACCCCAUAGGCUCUGUGGCGCAGCUGGAGAGGGGAACCCAUAGGCUUUGAGAGUCAGCUGGACAGGGGACCCCAUAGGCUCAGUGGCGCAGCUAGACAGGGGACCCCAUAGGCUCUGUGGCGCAGCUGGAGAGGGGAACCCAUAGGCUCUGUGGCGCAGCUGGAGAGGGGAACCCAUAGGCUCUGUGGCGUAGCGAGACAGGGGAACCCAUAGGCUCUGUGGCGCAGCUGGAGAGGGGAACCCAUAGGCUCUGUGAGUCAGCUGGACAGGGGACCUCAUAGGCUCUGUGGCGCAGCUAAACAGGGGACCCCAUAGGCUCUGUGGCGCAGAUAGACAGGGGAACCCAUAGGCUCUGUGGCGCAGCUAGACAGGGGACACCAUAGGCUCUGUGGCGCAGCUGGACACGGGGAACCCAUAGGCUCUGUGGCGCAGCUAGACAGGGGAACCCAUAGGCUCUGUGGCGCAGCUGGACAGGGGACCCCAUAGGCUCUCAACCAGGGCCUCAUUAGGACGGGGGGGGUCUGGGGCCAGCGGGAGCAGGUCUGGACUCUGCUGAACUGAGGUACAUGGACUUCAUCUCGGAGCUCGUCAGUUAUUCUUCUUCCUUUUAUAAUAUUAUAUUCUCUUGGAGAUAAAAUGUGCUCUUCGUCUUCUGUACAAAAAUAACUUAGAAAAACACGCAGAGUGGCGAACUGUUCAGUAGACGAGAUCCUCGCCUUGACCUUCGACCUCCCGGGCGGGACAGCGCCCCACGGUCAUGUGACGCUGUCGUCUCCACGACGAUGUUGGCAGCUCGUGUGUGUGUGUGUGUGUGUGUGUGUGUGUGUGUGUGUGUGUGUGUGUGUGUGUGUGUGUGUGUGUGUGUGU